GAUGAAGAACGUAAUGAAAUGCGAUACGUAAUGUGAAUUGCAGAAUUCAGUGAAUCAUCGAAUCUUUGAACGCACAUUGCGCCCGCCAGCACUCUGGCGGGCAUGCCUGUUCGAGCGUCAUUUCAACCAUCAAGCCCCAGGCUUGCGUUGGAGCCCUGCGGCUGCCGCAGCCUCCUAAAAGCAGUGGCGGGCUCGCUAUCACACCGAGUGCAGUAGAUUACUCUUCGCUCAGGGCGUGCAGCGGGUUCCGGCCGUGAAACCCCCUACUUUUAAAGGUUGACCUCGGAUCAGGUAGGAAUACCCGCUGAACUUAAGCAUAUCAAUAAGCGGAGGA
rnacentral:misc_RNA from 1 species